rnacentral:misc_RNA from 1 species
AGUCGACGCCCACGCGUCUCUGUGUUCUCUCCCUGUUCGCCUCGUCGCGGCCCUUUCGCCAAAGAUUUCGUUUCGCCUCCUUCGCUCGAUUCCUUGACUAGAUUAAGGACAAGAUAAAAAUAAAAGGCAAUUGAAAAAAAUCAAAGAGUAGAAACUUUUCGAUAUCGAGUGUGUUGCGACGUGACACGUGCUCCUAGAUUUUACUCUUUCUUAUUCAACCGCGGUACGAGUUCAACGCACACAUGCUACCACUGCUAGCCAAUUCAACGAAUCCAUAUACGUGCCCACGACGUGUAUAGCGACGCCGGUCGAAGAUUUGUCUGGUGUACGAACCUGAGGAGAUCGAGGAAAGCCAUGGAAAAAUAGAGGGAAUUAGAAGGAGUAUUUAUCGAAAUGGUCUCGAACGGGGCUUGGCUUGGAGGGCGUGCAUAAUAGCAAGAAGCAGCGACAAAAGCGAAAGGCUUGUUCCUUUUCCGACGCUAGAGCAAAGCCCCGUGUGUCGCGAAGAGAGAGAGAGGUUGGACGGCAAAGAAGGAAAAUGGGCGGGAAACACGGCCGCUCCUCCCGCAGCCUGGCCAAACGACUUAAUGGCCAGUUAUGAACUUUCUUCAUCUAAGUUUCGAGUACUUUUUUGCGUAUAAAUUGAAAUUUUUAUCGGGCAUUCCGUGUUCCUUAACGAGCGUCUCUUAGCACUUUCUGCUCGAGAAGUUCCGCGAUCCGCGCGAUCAGUCACGGUAGCAAACUCGGUGGUAACGCGCCAAUUCGCCUUGCAAAACGAGCUUUAUACAGUUUCCUGUUUUGCGAUUCGUUCCAAGAUUUACCAAAUACGAGACUCUUGAAUUUCCGAGACUCGUUAGGUGGUUCGGUCUUUGUGUCUCUCGAACAUUUCGUUGAGAGAAUUUGAAACAGACGUUACGUUUGCCAACACCUUCUCCUCCAUCGUAACAAUUUUCAAUAAUUUUUCAUCUCACGAUAUACAAAAUUUUGCGACACCCCAAAAGACAUAUCGUAUUUAAUUGGAUACCGUACAUUCACACCGACUAUUGCGCAUAUGUAGUUAGAUAUCGCGUGUUUUAAAAAUUCGGCACACCGUACAUCGGUUGUAAAUCGAGACCCUAUCGCACAAAAAUCACGUGGUAUCCAAAGAUCGAUGGCCAAUUUCUUGCUCGAUCGGUUCUGUCAGUUAGAU